GGGUUGUGAGGUUAAGCGACUAAGCGUACACGGUGGAUGCCCUGGCAGUCAGAGGCGAUGAAGGACGUGCUAAUCUGCGAAAAGCGUCGGUAAGGUGAUAUGAACCGUUACAGCCGGCGAUGUCCGAAUGGGGAAACCCAGUGUGAUUCGUCACACUAUCGUUAACUGAAUACAUAGGUUAACGAGGCGAACCGGGGGAACUGAAACAUCUAAGUACCCCGAGGAAAAGAAAUCAACCGAGAUUCCCCCAGUAGCGGCGAGCGAACGGGGAGCAGCCCAGAGUCUGAAUCAGCUUGUGUGUUAGUGGAACGGUCUGGAAAGUCCGACGGUACAGGGUGAUAGUCCCGUACACCAAAAUGCACAGGCUGUGAACUCGAAGAGUAGGGCGGGACACGUGGUAUCCUGUCUGAAUAUGGGGGGACCAUCCUCCAAGGCUAAAUACUCCUGACUGACCGAUAGUGAACCAGUACCGUGAGGGAAAGGCGAAAAGAACCCCGGCGAGGGGAGUGAAAAAGAACCUGAAACCGUGUACGUACAAGCAGUGGGAGCACCUUCGGGUGUGACUGCGUACCUUUUGUAUAAUGGGUCAGCGACUUAUAUUCUGUAGCAAGGUUAACCGUAUAGGGGAGCCGCAGGGAAACCGAGUCUUAACUGGGCGUUAAGUUGCAGGGUAUAGACCCGAAACCCGGUGAUCUAGCCAUGGGCAGGUUGAAGGUUGGGUAACACUAACUGGAGGACCGAACCGACUAAUGUUGAAAAAUUAGCGGAUGACUUGUGGCUGGGGGUGAAAGGCCAAUCAAACCGGGAGAUAGCUGGUUCUCCCCGAAAGCUAUUUAGGUAGCGCCUCGUGAAUUCAUCUUCGGGGGUAGAGCACUGUUUCGGCUAGGGGGUCAUCCCGACUUACCAACCCGAUGCAAACUACGAAUACCGAAGAAUGUUAUCACGGGAGACACACGGCGGGUGCUAACGUCCGUCGUGAAGAGGGAAACAACCCAGACCGCCAGCUAAGGUCCCAAAGUCAUGGUUAAGUGGGAAACGAUGUGGGAAGGCACAGACAGCCAGGAUGUUGGCUUAGAAGCAGCCAUCAUUUAAAGAAAGCGUAAUAGCUCACUGGUCGAGUCGGCCUGCGCGGAAGAUGUAACGGGGCUAAACCAUGCACCGAAGCUGCGGCAGCGACACUAUGUGUUGUUGGGUAGGGGAGCGUUCUGUAAGCCUGCGAAGGUGACCUGUGAGGGUUGCUGGAGGUAUCAGAAGUGCGAAUGCUGACAUAAGUAACGAUAAAGCGGGUGAAAAGCCCGCUCGCCGGAAGACCAAGGGUUCCUGUCCAACGUUAAUCGGGGCAGGGUGAGUCGACCCCUAAGGCGAGGCCGAAAGGCGUAGUCGAUGGGAAACAGGUUAAUAUUCCUGUACUUGGUGUUACUGCGAAGGGGGGACGGAGAAGGCUAUGUUAGCCGGGCGACGGUUGUCCCGGUUUAAGCAUGUAGGCUGGUUGUCCAGGCAAAUCCGGAUAAUCAAGGCUGAGGUGUGAUGACGAGGCACUACGGUGCUGAAGUAACAAAUGCCCUGCUUCCAGGAAAAGCCUCUAAGCAUCAGGUAACAUCAAAUCGUACCCCAAACCGACACAGGUGGUCAGGUAGAGAAUACCAAGGCGCUUGAGAGAACUCGGGUGAAGGAACUAGGCAAAAUGGUGCCGUAACUUCGGGAGAAGGCACGCUGGUGUGUAGGUGAAGUCCCUGCGGAUGGAGCUGAGACCAGUCGAAGAUACCAGCUGGCUGCAACUGUUUAUUAAAAACACAGCACUGUGCAAACACGAAAGUGGACGUAUACGGUGUGACGCCUGCCCGGUGCCGGAAGGUUAAUUGAUGGGGUUAUCCGUAAGGAGAAGCUCUUGAUCGAAGCCCCGGUAAACGGCGGCCGUAACUAUAACGGUCCUAAGGUAGCGAAAUUCCUUGUCGGGUAAGUUCCGACCUGCACGAAUGGCGUAAUGAUGGCCAGGCUGUCUCCACCCGAGACUCAGUGAAAUUGAACUCGCUGUGAAGAUGCAGUGUACCCGCGGCAAGACGGAAAGACCCCGUGAACCUUUACUAUAGCUUGACACUGAACAUUGAGCCUUGAUGUGUAGGAUAGGUGGGAGGCUUUGAAGCGUGGACGCCAGUCUGCGUGGAGCCAACCUUGAAAUACCACCCUUUAAUGUUUGAUGUUCUAACGUUGGCCCUUACCGGGGUUGCGGACAGUGUCUGGUGGGUAGUUUGACUGGGGCGGUCUCCUCCCAAAGCGUAACGGAGGAGCACGAAGGUUAGCUAAUCCUGGUCGGACAUCAGGAGGUUAGUGCAAUGGCAUAAGCUAGCUUGACUGCGAGCGUGACGGCGCGAGCAGGUGCGAAAGCAGGUCAUAGUGAUCCGGUGGUUCUGAAUGGAAGGGCCAUCGCUCAACGGAUAAAAGGUACUCCGGGGAUAACAGGCUGAUACCGCCCAAGAGUUCAUAUCGACGGCGGUGUUUGGCACCUCGAUGUCGGCUCAUCACAUCCUGGGGCUGAAGUAGGUCCCAAGGGUAUGGCUGUUCGCCAUUUAAAGUGGUACGCGAGCUGGGUUUAGAACGUCGUGAGACAGUUCGGUCCCUAUCUGCCGUGGGCGCUGGAGAAUUGAGGGGGGCUGCUCCUAGUACGAGAGGACCGGAGUGGACGCAUCACUGGUGUUCGGGUUGUCAUGCCAAUGGCACUGCCCGGUAGCUAAAUGCGGAAGAGAUAAGUGCUGAAAGCAUCUAAGCACGAAACUUGCCCCGAGAUGAGUUCUCCCUGAGACUUUAAGUCUCCUGAAGGAACGUUAAAGACGAUGACGUUGAUAGGCCGGGUGUGUAAGCGCAGCGAUGCGUUGAGCUAACCGGUACUAAUGAACCGUGAGGCUUAACCUUACAACGCCGAAG
rnacentral:rRNA from 1 species